AUUGAACGCUGGCGGCAGGCCUAACACAUGCAAGUCGAACGGUAACAGGAAGCAGCUUGCUGCUUCGCUGACGAGUGGCGGACGGGUGAGAAAUGUCUGGGAAGCUGCCUGAUGGAGGGGGAUAACUACUGGAAACGGUAGCUAAUACCGCAUAAUGUCGCAAGACCAAAGAGGGGGACCUUCGGGCCUCUUGCCAUCGGAUGUGCCCAGAUGGGAUUAGCUUGUUGGUGGGGUAACGGCUCACCAAGGCGACGAUCCCUAGCUGGUCUGAGAGGAUGACCAGCCACACUGGAACUGAGACACGGUCCAGACUCCUACGGGAGGCAGCAGUGGGGAAUAUUGCACAAUGGGCGCAAGCCUGAUGCAGCCAUGCCGCGUGUAUGAAGAAGGCCUUCGGGUUGUAAAGUACUUUCAGCGGGGAGGAAGGGAGUAAAGUUAAUACCUUUGCUCAUUGACGUUACCCGCAGAAGAAGCACCGGCUAACUCCGUG
rnacentral:rRNA from 1 species